rnacentral:rRNA from 2 species
UGGUGAUAACGGGUAACGGGGAAUCAGGGUUCGAUUCCGGAGAGGGAGCCUGAGAAACCGCUACCACUUCCAAGGGAGGCAGCAGGCGCGCAAAUUACCCACUCCCAGUACGGGGAGGUGGUGACGAAAAAUACCGAUGCGGGACUCUUAUUGAGGCUCCGUAAUCGGAAUGAGUGAACUCUAAAUCCUUUCACGAGGAUCAAUUGGAGGGCAAGUCUGGUGCCAGCAGCCGCGGUAACUCCAGCUCCAAUAGCGUAUAUUAAAGUUGCUGCAGUUAAAAAGCUCGUAGUUGGAUCUCGGUAUCACUGUCGCCUGCCAGUCCUCGGCUGAUUGUGUCUGUGUGUGUAGGUGGGACCGUGCUCUGCGCGGCACCCCUCGCCCAGGCGCGGUUAUGCUCGAGUUGGCGUGGUGGUGGUGUCACCUUUCAGCCAUGUCUGUGGUGAAAUACCCGCAGGUGUAGGCGAGUGUCAGGCGGUGCUCUGCGACAGUAGGGUCCGUCGGCUCGUUUGCAUGCCUCUGGAUGCCCUUCAAAAGGUGUCUAUGGGCGGAUGGCACGUUUACUUUGAACAAAUUUGAGUGCUCAAACCAGGCCGAUGUUGCCUGAAAAGUUUUGCAUGGAAUAAUGGAAUAGGACUUCGGUUCUAUUUCGUUGGUUUUCGGAUCCGAAGUAAUGAUCAAAAGAGACAGGCGGGGACGUUUGUAUGGUUGCGCUAGAGGUGAAAUUCAUGGACCGUAACCAGACAAACUAAAGCGAAAGCAUUCGUCAAGCAUGUUUUCAUUGGCCAUGAGCGAAAGUCAGAGGCUCGAAGACGAUCAGAUACCGUCCUAGUUCUGACCAUAAACGAUGCCAACUUACGAUCCGUGGUGGUAGUAUUUUAACCAUCCCCACGGGCAGUCCCCGGGAAACCUUUAAGUCUUUGGGUUCCGGGGGAAGUAUGGUUGCAAAGCUGAAACUUAAAGGAAUUGACGGAAGGGCACCACCAGGAGUGGAGCCUGCGGCUUAAUUUGACUCAACACGGGAAAACUCACCCGGCCCGGACACUGUGAGGAUUGACAGAUUGAUAGCUCUUUCUUGAUUUGGUGGUUGGUGGUGCAUGGCCGUUCUUAGUUGGUGGAGCGAUUUGUCUGGUUAAUUCCGAUAACGAACGAGACUCUAGCCUGCUAAUUAGUACGCCUGUCCUCUGUUCCUGUGCUGGCGGUGCUUUGGCGAAACUGCUCACAUAUGUCGACUGCUAUCGGGACGCGUUCUUGCGUAUGCCGCGAGCUCCUCGUGGGCGAGUGGUGUGCGUAGGAGCGUGAACUGUGGUAGGAGGCGUGUGCGGUGGGUCCGGUGCUUGCCUCCGGGUACGGCGCAGGUGUGUCUACUUCUUAGAGGGACAAGCAUUACGAAUGUGUACGAAAUUGAGCAAUAACAGGUCUGUGAUGCCCUUAGAUGUCCGGGGCCGCACGCGCGCUACAAUGACGGUGCCAACGAGUCUGACCUUCUGGCCCGAAAGGGUUGGGCAAACUGGUCAAUCACCGUCAUGACAGGGAUCGGGGCUUGGAAUUGUUCCCCGUGAACGAGGAAUUCCUAGUAAGUGCAAGUCAUAAGCUUGCGCUGAUUACGUCCCUGCCCUUUGUACACACCGCCCGUCGCUACUACCGAUUGAAUGGUUUAGUAAGGUCCUCGGAUUGGCGCCA